rnacentral:rRNA from 1 species
UACAGAGGGGGCAAGCGUUAUUCGGAAUUAUUGGGCGUAAAGGGCGCGUAGGCGGCCUGGCAAGUGGAUGGUGAAAUCCCUCGGCUUAACCGAGGAACUGCCAUCCAGACUGCUUGGCUUGAGACCGGGAGAGGUGAGUGGAAUUCCCAGUGUAGCGGUGAAAUGCGUAGAUAUUGGGAGGAACACCAGUGGCGAAGGCGGCUCACUGGACCGGUACUGACGCUGAGACCCGAAAGCAUGGGGAUCAAACAGG